rnacentral:snRNA from 1 species
GGAUGUGAGGGGGAUCUGGCUGCAAUAUAUGUCACCCCAUUGAUCACCAAGGUUGAUUUAACUGAUCUGCCUGGCUAGGCAAGUUUCCCCCUUCCUCACUGCUCCAUCCCUUCUGAAGCUGCAUGCUUGGGGGAAGAGGAUGAAGAGGAUGGGGGAAGACCAUUCCAGGUAGAAGGAGUGUACCAAUCUCCAGCCAAGAGUAUAUAGUACCUGUGCUCCCAUGCUAGAACCUCUGAACAAACUCAAGUUUCUUUAAAAAUUAUACUGAGAAAACUACAGAACUCUGUAGAGAUUCCCAGUCAUCCAGGUCAUGG